UACGUAGGGUGCAAGCGUUAAUCGGAAUUACUGGGCGUAAAGCGUGCGCAGGCGGUUUUUUAAGUCAGAUGUGAAAUCCCCGGGCUCAACCUGGGAACUGCAUUUGUGACUGCAUGGCUAGGGUACGGUAGAGGGGGAUGGAAUUCCGCGUGUAGCAGUGAAAUGCGUAGAUAUGCGGAGGAACACCGAUGGCGAAGGCAAUCCCCUGGACCUGUACUGACGCUCAUGCACGAAAGCGUGGGGAGCAAACAGG
rnacentral:rRNA from 1 species